rnacentral:lncRNA from 1 species
ACCGGAGAUCACGAUAAGGUGUCCAACUAUGGGGUUAGGUGAGUAUAUAAAUUUGGUGUCUUGAAACAUUGAAAUUUGGCGGAAAUAUUGAGCAAAAAGGACACAGGAAAGCAAUGAGGUAGAUGACUCAUGGCGUAGACCUGGGUCUUGCGUUGACGAAGAAGAAGUGCAAGCUUACAUAUAGGGCGGGGUAUGAUAGGGCAAAGACGCUGAAAAAUCGAAGGAAGGAGGCGGAGAGAUAUAGCCAUAGCUGUCCUGCUUUGCUGUUUAAGGAAACAACUGAAGCUGUCGCACCAGUUGUUUCCUUCGCAAUCUCUUCUUGAGACGCUAAUCGUAAGCCCCUCUAAGGCUCUCUCGUUUCUCUGUUCCAACGUUUCCUGUUUGUUUGAUUUACAAAUUAAAAAGAAAACCUCUUCGGAGGAGCUUUACUUUAUUUGGAAUCAUCGAUUAAUUUUUUAAGUCAAAUCUGGAAAACGGUGAAGAAUUGGCAGUUAAGAUUAAGAAUUUUCGGAUAAUUGUGUUGUGAUUAAUCAGAUCGAACAAUUUAGGGCUUGUGAUUACUGGAAUUAUUAAGUACUUUGUAGAAUUUUGGUUUUCUUGCAGAGUCGAGGAUAAUUUAUAUGUUGAUAUAUUGAUCGCUGCUGUGAUUUCAAGCUUGUAAUCUUCCGAUAAAUCUUAGAUUUUUCAUAAGGCAGUUUUUCCCCCUUUUCCUUUUUCCCUUUUCUCUUGGGCAUUUUUGUUACACUGGACUUUUCUCAUCCAUUCCCAUCAUCAGAAGGAAAUAAAAAAAUGAUUAUAAUAGAAAUGAAAAAUAGUGGAAUUUCAAUUGAUUUCUAAGAGGAGAUAUUUUGAUUCGUGCAAGAAAUGAUAUCCAACAUGUUAAAAUUAUUAUUUUAUCCAUUCAUUUCUAUUUCUAUCAGGUGUAAAAUCUUUUUAUGGUUAAUUUUUUAUUUGUUGAGUAAAUAUUAUUUUUCUUUGCCGACCUGUGUUAUGAUGCUUUAUAAUACUUAUUUUUAUGUUAAAGAAUAAACAAUA